GUCGGCCCACCGGGAAAAUGCCCGGUAUGCCAGAUGGCCAGUCUGCCCAUGGGUUCACCCCAGUACACACGGUAGUCAAGUCAUUAUCUUAGGCUUCCUUGCACACUGUUGACCCUCUACAUUCUCAAUGUUGCAGGUCAGAGGUCAGAGGGCACUGACUCCUGUGUGGCCCAGUCAGUCAGCGCAACUCUGGGCCCGGGACAGCUGGUCUCCUAAGGACUGGGUCCAACCCAGCAGGUCUCAUUACUUAGGACACUGGUCCAGAACACAAUGUCUACUGCUCACAGCAACAGCAGCCCACAGAGAGCAACUACAACCAAUUACAGAACUGAGUGACCUGAAUUACAUGAAGAGCAAAGCCAGUGCCUCUGAGGACCCAGCAAUGUAUCCCUCUGAAAUGGCUGCUGCCCCCCAGUCCAUGCCUAAAAAAACUGGUUGUCUGGUUGGUCCACUGGCCUCAGUUUUACAAUUUCAAGCCCCAAACAGCCAUCAGUAAGGCCACAAACUAGGCCAUCAUCAUCUGGACAAUACACUGCACAACCUUCAUCAUGGCAAUACCCACAGGAAAGAACUGAAAGACCCUAUUCAUUGUUGAGUCCCUCGAGGGAAGCCAGUGGUGUGACACAACAGCCCUCAGUAAGGCCACGAACUAGGCCAUCAUCAUCUGGACAAUACCUGCAUCAUGGCAAUACCCACAGGCCAGUGCCUCUGAGGACCCAGCAAUGUAUCCCUCUGAAAUGGCUGCUGCCCCCCAGUCCAUGCCUAAAAAAACCCAUAAACAACUGCAACACAGGAGGUCUGAUUGGUCCACUGGCCUCAGUUUUACAAUUUCAAGCCCCAAACAGCCAUCAGUAAGGCCACAAACUAGGCCAUCAUCAUCUGGACAAUACACUGCACGACCUGCAUCAUGGCAAUACCCACAGGAAAGGACUGAAACACCCUCAUCAUUGUUGAGUCCCUCGAAGGAAGCCAGUGGUGUGACACAACAGCCCUCAGUAAGGACACGAACUAGGCCAUCAUCAUCUGGACAAUACACUCCACGACCCGCAUCAUGGCAAUACCCACAGGAAGAUGUAGAGGAAGGUGCUACAGAUGCUUCAGACACAUCUGUGAGAGAUAUGAGCAUUAGCUUUGGGGAAAUGGAUUUGGCCCGAGCUCUGGCUCUGUCUCCAGCUCUGGAUGGGCAGGAAGAAAGUGGCUAGUCGAUGAGGCCAAGCUGAUGGAGCUUUUUAGAACAUGCGCUCAGUGUGGUGUGGCCAUUGAGUAAAAACGAGUAGCCACACGUGCCAGCCAGAUCAGAAUACACUGGACGUGUUUGAAGGGACAUACCGGGGAAUGGGCAUCAUGCACCGACCAAAGAAAUAUGGGCCGCAACAACAUCUUGACAUGUGCUGCAACAUUUUUCACCAGAGCCACCUACUUGGACAUUAAAGAAUGGGCAGAACUAAUCAACCUGCAGCUACCAGGCAAGACUCAGUUUUACGCCAUUCAAUCCAAAUACCUCAUCCCUAUGAUAAAUCAUGCAUACAAGGGACAUCAACAAAAAAUUCUGGAGAGGAUUUCUCAACUUUCUGCUUCAGGGCAAAAACUGGAAAUGUGUGGUGAUGCGUGGUGUGAUAGCCCU